GUGGCAGCCGCCGCGGUAACACGUAGGAGGCAAACGUUAUCCGGAUUUACUGGGCGUAAAGCGCGUGUAGGUGGUUCUGUAAGUAGGGCGUGAAAGCUCCCGGCUCAACUGGGAGAGGCCGUUCUAAACUGCAGAGCUAGAGGAUGGUAGAGGGAGGUGGAAUUCCAGGUGUAGCGGUGGAAUGCGCAGAUAUCUGGAGGAACACCAGUGGCGAAAGCGGCCUCCUGGACCAUUCCUGACACUCAGACGCGAAAGCUAGGGUAGCAAACGGGAUUAGAGACCCCGGUAGUCCUAGCCCUAAACGAUGUAGACUAGACGUCGGCGGUGUAAUAGCUGUCGGUGUCCAAGCUAACGCGAUAAGUCUACCGCCUGGGGACUACGGCCGCAAGGUUAAAACUCAAAGGAAUUGACGGGUCCCCGCACAAGCAGCGGAGCGUGUGGUUUAAUUCGUUGCUACACGAAGAACCUUACCUGGGUUUGACAUAGCAGUGGUAGGGAAGAGAAAUCGGACCGACCCUUCGGGGAGCUGUUACAGGUGUUGCAAUGGGCUGUCGUCAGCUCGUGUCGUGAGAUGUUCGGUUAAGUCCGCUAACGAGCGCAACCCGCGUUGUGUGUUAUAUGUGUCACACAAUACCGCCGGUAUUAAGCCGGAGGAAGGUGCGGAUGACGUCAAGUCAGCAUGACCUUUAUAUCCAGGGCUACACACACGCUACAAUGGACAGUACAACAGGUUGCCAAGCCGCGAGGCGGAGCCAAUCCUCUAAAGCUGUCCUCAGUUCAGAUUGCAGGCUGCAACUCGCCUGCAUGAAGUUGGAGUUGCUAGUAACCGCAGGUCAGCUAUACUGCGGUGAAUACGUUCCCGGGGAUUGUACACACCGCCCGUCAAGUCAUGGAAGCUGGCAACACCUGAAGCCGGUAUCCUAACCCGUAAGGGAGGGAGCUGUCAAAGGUGGGGUCGGUGACUGGGACUAAGUCGUAACAAGGUAGCC
rnacentral:rRNA from 1 species